rnacentral:rRNA from 1 species
UACGAAGGGUGCAAGCGUUACUCGGAAUUACUGGGCGUAAAGCGUGCGUAGGCGGUUUGUUAAGUCCGUUGUGAAAGCCCUGGGCUCAACCUGGGAAUUGCAGUGGAUACUGGCGAGCUAGAGUGCGGUAGAGGGAUGGUGGAAUUCCCGGUGUAGCGGUGAAAUGCGUAGAUAUCGUAAGGAAGACCAGUGGCGAAGGCGGCGACCUGGACAGAUAUUGACGCUGAGGUGCGAAAGCGUGGGAGCAACAGG